GACCACCGCUCCCACUGCUCCUACCACUCCAUCGUGUCUCAGCAUUCUCCCUGACAGUGAGAAAUGCAGUGAUUCUCAAUUUGUUCAGGAAGAAGCACAAGUAAAACCUAUUGAUGGUAGUCCAAACACUCCCAGUAAACACAAUAUGGAAAUUAAGGCACCGAUGAUUGGAAUGAAAUUUGAUUGUGAUGAUAGUGCAUAUGAGUUUUACAAACAAUAUGCUCAUAGAAUGGGCUUCAGUGUAAGGAAACAGUAUGUUAGGUGAGGAAGUGCUGGACAUGUUAAGAGGAGAACAUUUUGUUGUUCAAAAGAAGGUGAACGAGCUAUUGACAAACGUCGUGAACAGGAUUUGCAAGAAAUGAGAAUUAAAUGUUGUUUGUCCUCUAUGGAGGGUGAGAUCCAUGGUGAAGUUGUUCCCAAGAAUGUUUCAUAAGAUGACGGUGGAUUUGAGUCACAUGUGGACAUUUCUCAAGGCAUAUGUGGGAUCAAAACAAAACCUACUGUAGGUCGUCCAAGAGGAAGGUUGAAAAGUUCAUUAGAAGGGACAAAAAAAAAAAUCUCAAAGUAAGAAGGAUCAAUCCAAAAAGACUUGUGGAGCAAGACAAUUUCAAUCAUGUGGUGGCCUAAAUAGAGAAUCUUUCAGUUGUAGUAAUUUGGUUGGACAAGACAAUGUUGUUGGGUUCAAUGGUUUGAAUCAGGAAUUUUUUGAGUGUGAAUUUUUGGUUGGACAAGAUCAUAUUGGGUUAUAUGGCUUGAAUCAGGCUUCGGUAGAUCCUGAUAUUGACAACCUUUGAAAAACACCAUAUUGGUUGUUUUCCUUGUGUUUUGCACAGUUUUUGGACAAUAUAUUGGCUGUUAUAUAACAUCUAGUGGACAGAACUUUAACAGUAUUUUUUGGACAGCACAUUUGACUUCGACAGAUUUUUGGAAAGCAUAUCUGACAAUUUGGAUAGAUUUUUUGGACAGCACAAUUUGGACAGAUUUUUUGGACAUCACAAUUUGGACGUAUGCAAUGGGAAAGCUCAUUUUUAUAUCUUUGUAUCUAUGUAUUUGCAUAUUUGAACAAGACAGCUUUGAAUGAAUGCAAUAGAAUGAUAUGGAUGGAAAUUUAAAUUCAGGAACUUUAAAUUUAGCAAUAGAUUUGUUGAGCUUUUCUUUUUAUUUAGCUCUCUUUAAGAUUGGUUGGCUGGAUGAAACAUGCAAAAGUUUGCAACAUGGUUGGCUGGAUGAAACAAAUAUCUCCAAGUAUCUUUA